CCGACUUCUCCAAUGCAUUAAUGUUUGCAGUGGUACGGAAGCCUCGGAAAGAACGGUUCACACUUCAACCCAAGCAACGAUCUGUUCACCCCCAAGGAGAGACGUGAUGUGAUCUUGGCAUCUGAGUUAACUGGAGCAGAAGGAGGAUGACACCACAUCUCCCCUGGAUCAGUAUUGCGGGUCUGUGCGGUGGUGCAGUUGCCCACGCUCAGAUGGGACCGAAUCAGGUCCAGCUCUCGUGCUCACCUCAGAGCUGCUAUUCCUAGCAUCCAUUAACUCAAGUAGUACAUCUUAGAUCUGAUGGCAGUGUGCUGACAUUGGAGGAACAAGCAUCGUCGAAACAAGUGAGGAAGACAAGAUGGAAGCCAGUUAGAUGAACCCUGUUAUAUGAACCUUG